rnacentral:rRNA from 1 species
GAUCAUGGCUCAGGAUGAACGCUAGCUACAGGCUUAACACAUGCAAGUCGAGGGGCAGCAUAAUCGAAGCUUGCUUGAUUGAUGGCGACCGGCGCACGGGUGAGUAACGCGUAUCCAACCUUCCCCUUAGUAGGGCAUAGCCCGGCGAAAGUCGGAUUAAUACCCUAUGUUAUCCGUCGAGGACAUCUGAAGUGGAUUAAAGAUUUAUCGCUAAGGGAUGGGGAUGCGUCUGAUUAGGUUGUUGGCGGGUAACGGCCCACCAAGCCUACGAUCAGUAGGGGUUCUGAGAGGAAGGUCCCCCACAUUGGUACUGAGACACGGACCAAACUCCUACGGGAGGCAGCAGUGAGGAAUAUUGGUCAAUGGGCGAGAGCCUGAACCAGCCAAGUAGCGUGCCAGGAUGACCGGCCCUAUGGGUUGUAAACUGUCUUUUGCAUGGGAAUAAAGUCGGGGACGUGUCCCCGUUUGUAUGUACCAUGAGAAUAAGGACCGGCUAAUUCCGUGCCAGCAGCCGC